UACGAAGGGGGCUAGCGUUGCUCGGAAUCACUGGGCGGUUAAAGGGUGCGUAGGCGGGGUCGUUUUAAGUCAAGGGGUGAAAUCCGUGGAGCUCAACUCCAGAACUGCCUUUGAUACUGAGGAUCUUGAGUUCGGGAGAGGUGAGUGGAACUCCGAGUGUAGAGGUGAAAUUCGAUAGAUAUUCGGAAGAACACCAGUGGCG
rnacentral:rRNA from 1 species